CGGCAGCACGGGAGCAAUCCUGGUGGCGAGUGGCGAACGGGUGAGUAAUACAUCGGAACGUGUCCUGUAGUGGGGGAUAGCCCGGCGAAAGCCGGAUUAGUACCGCAUACGCUCUACGGAGGAAAGGGGGGGAUCUUAGGACCUCUCGCUACAGGGGCGGCCGAUGGCAGAUUAGCUAGUUGGUGGGGUAAAGGCCUACCAAGGCGACGAUCUGUAGCUGGUCUGAGAGGACGACCAGCCACACUGGGACUGAGACACGGCCCAGACUCCUACGGGAGGCAGCAGUGGGGAAUUUUGGACAAUGGGCGCAAGCCUGAUCCAGCAAUGCCGCGUGUGUGAAGAAGGCCUUCGGGUUGUAAAGCACUUUUGUCCGGAAAGAAAACUUCCUGGUUAAUACCCGGGGAGGAUGACGGUACCGGAAGAAUAAGCACCGGCUAACUACGUGCCAGCAGCCGCGGUAAUACGUAGGGUGCAAGCGUUAAUCGGAAUUACUGGGCGUAAAGCGUGCGCAGGCGGUCCGCUAAGACAGAUGUGAAAUCCCCGGGCUUAACCUGGGAACUGCAUUUGUGACUGGCGGGCUAGAGUAUGGCAGAGGGGGGUAGAAUUCCACGUGUAGCAGUGAAAUGCGUAGAGAUGUGGAGGA
rnacentral:rRNA from 1 species